rnacentral:rRNA from 1 species
GCUAAUCCUGGUCGGACAUCAGGAGGUUAGUGCAAUGGCAUAAGCCAGCUUGACUGCGAGCGUGACGGCGCGAGCAGGUGCGAAAGCAGGUCAUAGUGAUCCGGUGGUUCUGAAUGGAAGGGCCAUCGCUCAACGGAUAAAAGGUACUCCGGGGAUAACAGGCUGAUACCGCCCAAGAGUUCAUAUCGACGGCGGUGUUUGGCACCUCGAUGUCGGCUCAUCACAUCCUGGGGCUGAAGUAGGUCCCAAGGGUAUGGCUGUUCGCCAUUUAAAGUGGUACGCGAGCUGGGUUUAGAACGUCGUGAGACAGUUCGGUCCCUAUCUGCCGUGGGCGCUGGAGAAUUGAGGGGGGCUGCUCCUAGUACGAGAGGACCGGAGUGGACGCAUCACUGGUGUUCGGGUUGUCAUGCCAAUGGCACUGCCCGGUAGCUAAAUGCGGAAGAGAUAAGUGCUGAAAGCAUCUAAGCACGAAA